GCAGCCAUAGCUCAAUUGGAUAGAGCAUCUGACUACGGAUCAGAAGGUUAGGGGUUCGACUCCCUUUGGCUGUA
rnacentral:tRNA from 1 species